GUACACUCCUGCGGGAGGCAGCAGUGGGGAAUAUUGGACAAUGGGCGCAAGCCUGAUCCAGCCAUGCCGCGUGAGUGAUGAAGGCCCUAGGGUUGUAAAGCUCUUUCACCGGUGAAGAUAAUGACGGUAACCGGAGAAGAAGCCCCGGCUAACUUCGUGCCAGCAGCCGCGGUAAUACGAAGGGGGCUAGCGUUGUUCGGAUUUACUGGGCGUAAAGCGCACGUAGGCGGACUAUUAAGUCAGGGGUGAAAUCCCGGGGCUCAACCCCGGAACUGCCUUUGAUACUGGUAGUCUUGAGUUCGAGAGAGGUGAGUGGAAUUCCGAGUGCAGAGGUGAAAUUCGUAGAUAUUCGGAGGAACACCAGUGGCGAAGGCGGCUCACUGGCUCGAUACUGACGCUGAGGUGCGAAAGCGUGGGGAGCAAACAGGAUUAGAAACCCCGGUAGUCCC
rnacentral:rRNA from 1 species